UACGUAGGUGGCAAGCGUUGUCCGGAAUUAUUGGGCGUAAAGCGCGCGCAGGCGGUCCUUUAAGUCUGAUGUGAAAGCCCACGGCUCAACCGUGGAGGGUCAUUGGAAACUGGGGGACUUGAGUGCAGAAGAGGAGAGUGGAAUUCCACGUGUAGCGGUGAAAUGCGUAGAGAUGUGGAGGAACACCAGUGGCGAAGGCGACUCUCUGGUCUGUAACUGACGCUGAGGCGCGAAAGCGUGGGGAGCAACAGG
rnacentral:rRNA from 1 species